rnacentral:rRNA from 1 species
UACGGAGGAUGCAAGCGUUAUCCGGAAUGAUUGGGCGUAAAGCGUCCGCAGGUGGCUAUGUAAGUCUGCUGUUAAAGAGCAAGGCUCAACCUUGUAAAGGCAGUGGAAACUACAUGGCUAGAGUGCGUUCGGGGCAGAGGGAAUUCCUGGUGUAGCGGUGAAAUGCGUAGAGAUCAGGAAGAACACCGGUGGCGAAAGCGCUCUGCUAGGCCGCAACUGACACUGAGGAACGAAAGCUAGGGGAGCGAAUGGG